GGCCUGAUGGCCGAGUGUUUAGCGCUCGGUGCCACAGGUUUCGGGCUCGAAUCCCGAAAUGGUGCCAUGGAAGUUUGUAGGGGUUCGGAAUCCCCUUUAAGCCG